rnacentral:rRNA from 1 species
GAGUGGAGCUUGCUCCAUGAUUCAGCGGCGGACGGGUGAGUAAUGCCUAGGAAUCUGCCUGGUAGUGGGGGACAACGUUUCGAAAGGAACGCUAAUACCGCAUACGUCCUACGGGAGAAAGCAGGGGACCUUCGGGCCUUGCGCUAUCAGAUGAGCCUAGGUCGGAUUAGCUAGUUGGUGAGGUAAAGGCUCACCAAGGCGACGAUCCGUAACUGGUCUGAGAGGAUGAUCAGUCACACUGGAACUGAGACACGGUCCAGACUCCUACGGGAGGCAGCAGUGGGGAAUAUUGGACAAUGGGCGAAAGCCUGAUCCAGCCAUGCCGCGUGUGUGAAGAAGGUCUUCGGAUUGUAAAGCACUUUAAGUUGGGAGGAAGGGCAGUAAGUUAAUACCUUGCUGUUUUGACGUUACCGACAGAAUAAGCACCGGCUAACUUCGUGCCAGCAGCCGCGGUAAUACGAAGGGUGCAAGCGUUAAUCGGAAUUACUGGGCGUAAAGCGCGCGUAGGUGGUU